GAUGAACGCUAGCUACAGGCUUAACACAUGCAAGUCGAGGGGUAACGAGAGGAAAGCUUGCUUUCCUUGUCGACGACCGGCGCACGGGUGAGUAACGCGUAUCGAACCUGCCCCCAACUAGGGAAUAACCUUGCGAAAGUAAGACUAAUACCCUAUAAUUUCCUACGAUGGCAUCUGACGAGGAAUAAAGAUUUAUCGGUUGUGGAUGGGGAUGCGUCUGAUUAGCUUGUUGGCGGGGUGACGGCCCACCAAGGCAACGAUCAGUAGGGGUUCUGAGAGGAAGGUCCCCCACAUUGGAACUGAGACACGGUCCAAACUCCUACGGGAGGCAGCAGUGAGGAAUAUUGGUCAAUGGGCGGAAGCCUGAACCAGCCAAGUAGCGUGCAGGAUGACGGCCCUAUGGGUUGUAAACUGCUUUUAUACAGGAAUAAAGUUAGCCACGUGUGGUUAUUGUAGGUACUGUAUGAAUAAGGACCGGCUAAUUCCGUGCCAGCCGCCGCCGUAA
rnacentral:rRNA from 1 species